ensembl:lncRNA
AUACUAUUGGAGGAGCUCAUAAAAUGGUUAGGUUGCUGGCCGCAUAUUUGGAAAGCAGACAGGAAUCAAGGAACUCCUGAGAAGUGACACUCAUGAGGAACAGACCAAGAGGAUCUGCAGACACUGGCCCUGGCACCACAGCACCGCUGGAGCAAAGCCAGCAGGCACCUGCAAGCAGACUUCUUGACACGUGAGAAAAAUAACCUCAUGCAACUUGCUGCCGUCCAAACACGGAGAUUAAUACAAAGUGCAGGGUUUUUUCUCCAAACAUCCUAAGACUCAGUUGGUGUAACUGGAAGAAAGGAAGUGUGAAAUCAACAAGACGAAGAGAGAGUUUCACACUUCAAUCCUCAAAUCCUCGGCCUCUAUACCACAUAAUGCCUCUGGGUCAAAUCUCAGCAAACUGAUAAAUUGCCUUCCUUACUUCCAUGACUGGGCACCACUCUGUCCCUGCUCUUCUCAUUCAACUACAUACCACCUAAUAAGGAGAUGGGGAAUAAGCAAGGGGCCACCAGGAGGGUUCAUAGUAGGAGAGGAAAGGAGAAUUAGACAGUGGUGCAGAGAAGUGGCUGUGACCCUGAAGAAUUUUGCAUCUAUACUCUUAAGGAAAUUGGCAUAUCAUUUCUGUCAUCUGCCUAUGGGAGGAACUGGCUGAAAAUCACACAGCUAGAGGAGAGAAGUGACUCUCUUCCUGCUUCCAGAAUCUGAAGCUAUCUCCGGUGGUAGCUGCAGUGAUAAUAAAGCUGCAAUGGCAACAGUUCUGGAAGUAGUAAAAAUAUUGAUUUCAGCAGCAGCAGCAGCAUUGAGGAAUCCCCAUAAUGGAGGCUACAGGGGUAGCACUGGGAAUAAUUCAGGAAGUAAUGACAAUAUUCACUACAGCUGUAGCAGCUGAAGUGCGAGUCCUCAUGGUGGCAGCUUCAAAGACAGCAGUAAUGACUCAGCCCCAGAAAUGCAACUUCCUAGGCUCCUGCUUAAGAAGCUGAACUUGGCAUCUGAAGCCUUGAGGCACCAGCCACUGACCUCUGAGCAACAUUUUCACCUUACCAACUUAGAAGAAGCAGAGAUUUCUUGCAAUUACUAAUUUUUGCAAACCUGAUCUUCAAUCGUUUGAGCCACAGACGCUUGUAACUGAUUUCUCUAUGAAAUAUGAUAAUUAUAACUUGUUUUGUUAGCCCACGGAGAGUCUUAAUUUUUUCAUUAAUUGCAAUUGUGGGAAAAUUGGGAGAGAUCACAUAAAAAUCCAAUUUUCAGCCUUCUCUUGACAAUCUUUAGGGCUGGCAAUGCUGAUUCAGCUCCUUGCAAGGCAACAAUUGGCCAAUGCUGAGUAAUUGCUGCUCCCUUUAAACAAGACUGUCCUCCCAGUUCACCACAUUCCCCAUCCAAUCUGCUUCCAUUAUCAUACCUCCUGCCAGCCUUGCACACAUUUACAUUUGCCACAUCUACUAUAAAUGGUCAAAACAUAACAAAAUUUCAGAAAUAUUUAUUUUCUUCACUUACCAAAGCAAGAUGUAUUUUAUAAGUUACAUAAAGAUAAUUGACUUAAACUUGAGUAGUAAUAUUUAGAGUCAACUGUAUCUAUUAAAUGACAAAUAAAUAGACAUCAAAUAAACAUAGUUUUCAAAUUAAUUGUUUGGAAAUA